UCAAGACCAGUUCAGCUGGGGAUUCAAAGUGCACGAACAGCAAACAUGGCAAGCCCAAAACUUGACCCGUGACAUGACGGUCCCUCCUUCCUCGGUCCUGGCACAGUCCUUCCCAGGGCCCUUUCACUGUGCUGUGCUGGGGAACGGGACCGGAGCUGCCUGCACCCAUCCCAAGCACUCCACCUGCCAAAGUCCAAGCUGUCUCUCCUUGAACACGCCCAGUCCCUUUUCCAGCUUCCCCCGCUCGUGUCUCCCGUCCUCCCGUAGCCGGUCUUAAGUCCACCCGCACCAGUUUCUCUCUGGUUCACGAACAGGAAGAUUCUCUCAAUCAGCUAAGUCACUCCCUGAGCAAGUCACUCAAGUUUCGGUCAUUCAUUCACGGAAGGACGUCCCUCAACAGAAAGAGCUCAGGAGUACCUGUGCUGGCUCUUCAUUCACUGUCCUCACACCUGAGUGUGGCAGAAAGCCCAUGUGAAUGCUUCCACUCAGCUCUCAAAAUGCUCUGGCAGACUUUCUCAUUGCGUGUACUGACUGGGAUGAAGUGGUCUGAGGUCAUCAGUUGUCUUUCCACCUGUUUGCUCCUGAAAAUUGUCUCCUUCACGUUUGUUGGGCCACAUCGUUCCAUGCAGCAGGUGAUAUAUGCAGGAGGUAUGCAGUGCAGGAGACAAAGGCCUGCAGAGCUGCUUGCAGCCAC